rnacentral:hammerhead_ribozyme from 1 species
GCACUGCCGACGAGUCCCGAACAGGACGAAACAGCUCUCCAGUGC